GGCAGACACACAGGCGGCUGGAUGUCAAGAGGAGCACAACAGAGGAGGAACACAGAGGUGGCUAGACACAGAGAGUAACACACUGACGGCUGGACAUACGGAGUAAAACACCGACAGGCACGGGCACCCUGGCAGGCCACCGACCAUUAGAAAUAGAAUGACAUGGAGUUUAGCUGGGGCAGUCAGAGGAGAGCCCAGGCUGCUGAACGGCUCGACUCUAGGGGAAACCCUUCCCACUCCACCCCUUCUGACUUUCCGAGAGCUGCUUCCACCCAAUAAAACCUUGCAAUCAUUCUCCAAGCCCAGGUGUGAUCAGAUUCUUUCGGUACAUCAAGGAUCUCUCCCUGUGGUGCCUAGGUUGGUUUAAAACUCUUGGCCUCAAGCGAUCCUCCCACCUUGAAUUCCCAAAGCAAGGUGCUAUUAGUAAUUGGCUCAGAGAACUCGCCAUUAGGGGCAGUGCAUCACUUAACAAUGGCUGGGCGUGAAAGAGAUUUACAGAAAAGUUGUGAAGAUGGUGCAGAAAUGUCCCAUAUACCUUUCACCCAGCUUCUCCUGUUGUUAGUGCCUUACAUGAUGAUGGUGUGUCCGGAAUGGGUGGGUUCUUGGUCUCACUGACUUCAAGAAUGAAGCCGCGGACCCUCGCGAGCCCUGCUCUACUGACCCUUCAAUGUGCCCGUGUGCCUAAAUAUUCCUGGUCGUGUGAAAAGAACCCAGGUAUUAGCUGAACUAAGGAGCACAAUUCUGCAACAUUUUGGCACCCAAACACGGGGCUUGAGAAAUGAAUGCAAUUGGAGAAACUGGUUGUUUUACCAGGCGUUGAUUGGAAAUGUGUGCUUCCCUUUAAGCAGUCAAGCUCAACUUGCAGAACUGAUGGGAACCCCUUGGGAAAACUGGCCUCAAAUGUUUGUCUACACAGUCCACAUACAGGGUUCUUAACCUGCGACUGACCCUGCUUGUGCCUGUGAACCAACCAACAAUCUCUGGCUGCAGCUCAGAAAGGACAAAAGAGAAUGGAUGAGGGAAACUUCCCAGGGCUUGUCUGGGUAUGCCCACAGUGGACUGGAGCCCAAAAUGCACACUGGAGGAAGUGGAUGGAGCCACGUGGAUGUCAUGCCUUAUGCAGGGGAGGAGCCUGCUCUCUUCAGCUCCUGUGGUAAUGUGGGAAUCGAUCUGUGAGGAAACACUUUCUGAAAAUGUCAGAACUCUUGAAAACAUGGAUGAGGAAAAGCAUAAGUACUGCUUUAUGCUUUUCUUAUGAAUUUUAAAAGAUGUAAUUUAAAGAUGGAGUCUUGUUCUGUGGUCCAGGCUAGAGGGCAGUGGCAUGAUCUCGGCUCACUACAAGCUCUGCCUCCCGGGUUCACGCCAUUCUCCUGCCUCAGCCUCCUGAGUAGCUGGGACUACAGGCGCCCGCCACCACGCCUGGCUAAUUUUUUGUAUAUUUACUAGAGAUGGCUAGUGUUAGCCAAGAUGGUCUCGA
ensembl:lncRNA PURPL p53 upregulated regulator of p53 levels